rnacentral:rRNA from 1 species
AUGCCCUCUCCGCCUCAACAGAUCGCAUCGCCGCCCAGGGAAACGAUGAGCCGCGAGGCCAGCGGCGCGUCGGUGAGCUCUGCCCCGGUGCCCGAGCCAGAGCGGCAGCAGGGGCAGGGGAACCAAGGGGAGGAGGCGGGGUGGACGCCGCUGGAGAAGGUGGCGGAUAAAGUGGAGGAGCUGUACAGUCUCCGUGACACCUUCUUCCCCCGAGACCCCUCCGAGAAGUCUGCGUCCCUCCGCGCCUGCGCCGACGCCGCCCUGGGAGUCCUCGAUUCCCUGCCUCCCGGUUAUUCUUCGACGGGUACUGCAGGUUCUGUGACUGAUGCUUCCCGCACUGAGCAACCACCCACUACACAGUCAGAGCAAAGAAAAUCCCCAGAAGAGCGUGUUAUUUAUGAAUUUUUGAUGGGGAAAAUACUCGAUGUCUUCCCAGAUUAUUGUAAGGAGGCUGAAGAGCAUUUAUCCAAAGCAGUAAAGCUGAAUCCAUCUCUUGUGGAUGCAUGGCUAUGUUUGGGUAACUGCAUCUGGAAGAAGGGGAAUUUGGCAUCAGCAAGGAACUGUUUCUUAUUAGCACUAAGUAAGGGCACAGAUAAGAAAAUACUAUGUCAACUCUCAAUGCUUGAAAGGAGUAUGGCUCAAUCUAGUGAAGACCAAGCGUUGUUAGUGGAAGAGAGCAUUAAUCAUGCAAAAGAAGCUGUAAUGCUGGACAUAAAAGAUGGAAAUUCCUGGUAUAAUCUGGGUAAUGCAUACCUCACAAGCUUCUUUGCGAGCGGAGCCUGGGACAAAGCUAGGCUUCAUCAUUCGAUCAAAGCAUAUCAAAACGCUGAGAAGGAUGAAACUAUGAAACUAAAUCCAGACCUCUACUAUAAUUGUGCCACAGCUUACAAAUACUUAGAGAACUAUGAAAGUGCCAUUCGCGGAUUUGAAGCUGCUGCAUUAAAAGAUCCUGCUCUCAGGGCUGACAUAGAAGUUCAGAAGAUCAUCAAUCUCCUUGAUAAGUUAGAGAAUGCAAUGAAGGUACCUUCUGUAACUAUAGGACGACUACGACCCAAGAGAUCAGCAUCAUUGGUGUCAUCUCUGAAUGAAGUCAAUUUCAAGUUAUUCCACAAGAAAGCAACCAUAAGCAUCCUAUCAGGAGGUUUGAACAAGACAGUUGCUGUUGUGUGUAAAGUGGUUCUUUGGAUAAGACAUGACGAUGAUGCUCCACUGUAUUAUUUAACAUGUGACUUGGAUCAGUCUUAUUUCAUACUAUCAGUUUACGGGCUACAGAAUGAAGCAAUUAAAGAAGGCGAUCGAGUGGUACUGCUGGAACCAUACUACAAAAUCCUAGAUAUAUCUUGGAAAGAACAGCGCUAUAAGUUCAAGUCAAUUCGUGUGGACUUCCCAGAACAAAUUAUUAUCAACGAGAAAGCUCCAGCUGCUCAUCAUGUUGCCCGGGCUUCAAUUCGGGCUCAGCAUAAACCAUAA